UGGACACCGUGGGCCUGGACUCCACAGUUCUGUUGGGAAGAAAGUGAAGAUUACUUGGCUCUGAUGUAGUAACAGAAGAGAAACAGUGAAAAGACGUCCAGGCCCGAGGAAGCACAUCGCUGGGACAGGUGGAAGGAGCCCCGUGCGUGUCUGUCCCCUGAACUGGCCCCUCUGAGCAGCCAUCCACGGGAGUGUGCCACAGCAGGAAGCAAACCCAUGGGGUUGGGGAAAAGUAUUUGGGCACCGCCAUGUGGCUGACAUUCUUUGUGCAGCACGGUUUUUUCUGCUCACCAUGUUUAUUUUUCCUCAAAUUAAAGCCACAUUUUUGGUUGGGCAA